rnacentral:rRNA from 1 species
UAAAGCGUGCGCAGGCGGUUUUGUAAGACUGUCGUGAAAUCCCCGGGCUCAACCUGGGAAUGGCGAUGGUGACUGCAAGGCUAGAGUUUGGCAGAGGGGGGUAGAAUUCCACGUGUAGCAGUGAAAUGCGUAGAUAUGUGGAGGAACACCGAUGGCGAAGGCAGCCCCCUGGGUCAAAACUGACGCUCAUGCACGAAAGCGUGGGGAGCAAACAGGAUUAGAUACCGUGU